AUCUGGCUGACGAGUCCCAAAUAGGACGAAACGCAUGUUCUGCUACAC
rfam:Schistosoma margrebowiei strain Zambia genome assembly, scaffold: SMRZ_scaffold0002891